GACAGAGGGUGCAAACGUUGUUCGGAAUUACUGGGCGUAAAGCGAGUGUAGGCGGUUUCCUAAGUCGGAUGUGAAAGCCCCGGGCUCAACCCGGGAAGUGCACUCGAAACUGGGAGGCUAGAGUGUCGGAGAGGUUGGUGGAAUUCUCGGUGUAGAGGUGAAAUUCGUAGAUAUCGAGAGGAACACCGGUGGCGAAGGCGGCCAACUGGACGAACACUGACGCUGAGACUCGAAAGCGUGGGGAGCAAACAGG
rnacentral:rRNA from 1 species